ACAGCCUUGGAAUGUGGCAAGAUGAGUGGUUUCAAGCAGGAGCCUAAAGGAAUGUCUUCCUAUGGCCUGUUGGCCAUUUCAGAACUUAGGGAAUUUAAUGGUCAAUUCAUUAGAAAGAAACAUCU